CCGCGAGGUGGAGCUAAUCCCAGAAAACCGAUCGUAGUCCGGAUCGCAGUCUGCAACUCGACUGCGUGAAGUCGGAAUCGCUAGUAAUCGUGAAUCAGAAUGUCACGGUGAAUACGUUCCCGGGCCUUGUACACACCGCCCGUCACACCAUGGGAGUGGGUUGCUCCAGAAGUAGCUAGUCUAACCGCAAGGGGGACGGUUACCACGGAGUGAUUCAUGACUGGGGUGAAGUCGUAACAAGGUAGCCGUAGGGGAACCUGCGGCUGGAUCACCUCCUUA
rnacentral:rRNA from 1 species